UAUAAACCUAUGGCAUUGUAAUGUUAUAUAAAUCUAUGGCCCAUGGCAUUGUAAUGUUAUAUAAAUCUAUGGCCCAUGGCAUUGUAAUGUUAUAUAAAUCUAUGGCCUGUGGCAUUGUAAUGUUAUAUAAACCUAUGGCAUUGUAUUGUUAUAUAAACCUAUGGCAUUGUCAUGUUAUAUAAACCUAUGGCAUUGUCAUGUUAUAUAAACCUAUGGCAUUGUAAUGUUAUAUAAACCUAUGGCAUUGUAAUGUUAUAUAAACCUAUGGCCCAUGGCGUAAUAUUAUAUAAACCUUAAUCUGGCCUACCAGGCUGGCUCUCUCUCAUUCAAGAUAUUGAGCCAGUAGGUUAUGUAGACCUAUGUGGCCAAAGGCACUGUAACGUUGUACAGAUGACAUUGUAACGUUGUACAGAUGGCACUGUAAUGUUGUACAGAUGGCACUGUAACGUUGUACAGAUGGCACUGUAACGUUGUACAGAUGGCACUGUAACGUUGUACAGAUGGCACUGUAA
rnacentral:lncRNA from 13 species